GUGGGGAAUCUUGCGCAAUGGGCGAAAGCCUGACGCAGCCAUGCCGCGUGAAUGAUGAAGGUCUUAGGAUUGUAAAAUUCUUUCACCGGGGACGAUAAUGACGGUACCCGGAGAAGAAGCCCCGGCUAACUUCGUGCCAGCAGCCGCGGUAAUACGAAGGGGGCUAGCGUUGCUCGGAAUUACUGGGCGUAAAGGGCGCGUAGGCGGACAGUUUAGUCAGAGGUGAAAGCCCAGGGCUCAACCUUGGAAUUGCCUUUGAUACUGGCUGUCUUGAGUACGGGAGAGGUGAGUGGAACGCCGAGUGUAGAGGUGAAAUUCGUAGAUAUUCGGAAGAACACCAGUGGCGAAGGCGACUCACUGGCCCGUUACUGACGCUGAGGCGCGAAAGCGUGGGGAGCAAACAGGAUUAGAUACCCGUGUAGUCC
rnacentral:rRNA from 1 species